AGGGAAGGGAGCCAGCAAGAUGAGGGAGCACAGCUCCUGUUGCAAUAUCCUGACUGCAGCAGGGGAUUUGCUCUCACCAGCACAGCCUGGGUUUCUGUCCCUGCAAACUCCUCAAAGCAUCUGCAGUAGGUGAUGAAUGAAGCUGUUCUCCUCCAAGAAGAUGCUCAAGCA
rnacentral:lncRNA from 12 species